rnacentral:rRNA from 1 species
AACGAACGCUGGCGGCAGGCUUAACACAUGCAAGUCGAACGCCCCGCAAGGGGAGUGGCAGACGGGUGAGUAACGCGUGGGAACAUACCCUUUCCUGCGGAAUAGCUCCGGGAAACUGGAAUUAAUACCGCAUACGCCCUACGGGGGAAAGAUUUAUCGGGGAAGGAUUGGCCCGCGUUGGAUUAGCUAGUUGGUGGGGUAAAGGCCUACCAAGGCGACGAUCCAUAGCUGGUCUGAGAGGAUGAUCAGCCACAUUGGGACUGAGACACGGCCCAAACUCCUACGGGAGGCAGCAGUGGGGAAUCUUAGACAAUGGGGGAAACCCUGAUCUAGCCAUGCCGCGUGAGCGAUGAAGGCCUUAGGGUUGUAAAGCUCUUUCAGCUGGGAAGAUAAUGACGGUACCAGCAGAAGAAGCCCCGGCUAACUCCGUG